UGGCCAGGGAACUGGAACCAUCUGGUUGGAUGACAUGCGGUGCAAAGGAAAUGAGUCAUUUCUAUGGGACUGUCACGCCAAACCCUGGGGACAGAGUGACUGUGGACACAAGGAAGAUGCUGGCGUGAGGUGCUCUGGACAGUCGCUGAAAUCACUGAAUGCCUCCUCAGGUCAUUUAGCACUUAUUUUAUCCAGUAUCUUUGGGCUCCUUCUCCUGGUUCUGUUUAUUCUAUUUCUCACGUGGUGCCGAGUUCAGAAACAAAAACAUCUGCCCCUCAGAGUUUCAACCAGAAGGAGGGGUUCUCUCGAGGAGAAUUUAUUCCAUGAGAUGGAGACCUGCCUCAAGAGAGAGGACCCACAUGGGACAAGAACCUCAGAUGACACCCCCAACCAUGGUUGUGAAGAUGCUAGCGACACAUCGCUGUUGGGAGUUCUUCCUGCCUCUGAAGCCACAAAAUGACUUUAGACUUCCAGGGCUCACCAGAAUCUUGAUAUGUGGGUGAUGUUAAGCCCUCCUGACCCAGCAAGUUGAAAACUCACCAUGAAGAGCAGCGGUCAAAGGAACUAGGGAAAUCCUACAGUGUGAUCAGUUUUUCUGCUGCAGGUAAGCAGAGAGCAUCCCUUUGCACUGAAUAGGCCACUGAGCCGCAUUACUGCUUAUUAAUUCCUCAUCAUUCCUGCCUCCUUUUAUGUUCUCCCUAAAUGACUAGGUUUGCGGGGCCAGGAACUUUAUUUCCCACAAUCCCUAACAGGAAGAAUCUGGGCUCGCUUCCACCAGAGAGACUUGUUCAUGGAAGAUACGGUUUCGCAAGGAUCUUUGUACUUGUCCUGAAAACUGCUAGCCUAGAUAUUACAGCAUGGUGCCCUUUAGCAGUGGUUUCCUGGGGGUUUUAAAACUUCCUGAUGAGGGUUUUGUAAGCAUAAUUAUUCCCUGUAGUAAACCACUU
rnacentral:lncRNA from 1 species